UGUUGUUGUUUAAAUUCGCCUUAUAUAAGGCAGGCAAAGAUCUCAGGACCAUACAGCCUUGACUUUAGUAAUUUAAUAUUCGAAAAUCACGAUCAAAAUAGGCCUAAGCCUUGUCUUCAAUUUUCAAUAUCCAAUUUAGGCCAGUGCCUUGUCUUCAGUUUUCAAUCUCUCUCAUUUAAUAUUCUUAUUAGGCCAAAGCCUUGUCUUCAGUUUCCAAUAUCCAAUUUAGGCCAGUGCCUUGUCUUCAGUUUUCAAUCUCUCUCAUUUAAUAUUCUUAAUAGGCCAAAGCCUUGUCUUCAGUUUUUAAUCUCUUUCAUUUAAAAUCCAUAUUAGGCCUAAGCCUUGUCUUCUGUAUCCAAAAUCUUGAAAGUAAAAUCCAGUUUAGGCCUAAGCCUCGUCUUUAUCCAUGAUCUUGUCACAUCCAAUAAUAAGAAGUUCCAUUCCAGUAAAGUAUUAUCCGGUAAAGGUUAUACCAACCAAUUAAGCAUAACACAAGAAAGCAUACUCAAAGUGGCUUCUCACCAGAGACUUAUAAAGCAUCAGUAAUAUCUUUGGAUCAGCACCCCAGCUUGUACCAGCCAAGGCUUUUAAGGAAAAUUCAGGAAUCUCAGCUCCUGUGCAAGAAUGUGAUGGUUAACAUUGUUAAAUGCUCCAACAAUGUCUACAAAAAUAGCCACAAGUACUUGAUGAUUACGAAUAGAAUUAAAAAUAUCAAGAUGAAGAUGUGCUAUACUCUCCCUGGCUGACUUCCCACGUCGAAACCCGAACUGGUUUGAAGGAAAAUGAUAACUACCCAACGCAUCGUCAUGAACACCCCACUCGCAGGCAGCAGCCAGGGAGGGGGAAACCAGAGUCAGAUCAAGAGCAUUUUGCCGCCAUGUGUUAGAUCCUACAGUAGUUAAUCUGCCAUCAUUUAGCAGUACUAAAUUAUUAUCAUCUAUACAUUUAAGAAGAACAUCACCUCUGUUAUCAACAGAAGAACAACCCCAAACAGAAUGGUGCGCAUUAAAAUCACCAGCAAUAAAUACUGGUUCUGGAAGACUGUUAAAAAGAGCAUUGAGUGAAGUUUUUGUGAAAUUUGGAGAAUUAGGAGGACUGUAAUAACUAAGAAAAGUAAUUUGUUUAGAGCCAAAAUAUAAACGUAAUGCUAUAUUUUGAUUAGAAUCAUCAUAUGUAGUACUUAUAUGCUGAUAAUGUAGCUGAUUGUUAAUAAGUAUAGCAACACCAUUGUGAUUAUUGCCUGAAUCCAAUCUAAUUAUGUUAUAACCAUUUAUUUUAAAACAUUGUGUAGCUUUUAACCAAGUUUCACUGAUAAGAGCAAUAUGGAUAUUAUUGUCAUAUAAAAACUGUGUAAAGUGAAAUUUGUUACUAUUUAAACUCUGAGCAUUCCAUUGUACUAUUCGCAACUGAUCCAUGAAAACAAAAAAAAAAGGAAAAAGUUGUAAUGAAUUACUUUUUAUGGAUAGUAUCCAUUAAGACAGUUUUAAUAAAUUCAGAGGAGAUAGA